rnacentral:rRNA from 1 species
UACGUAGGGGGCAAGCGUUGUCCGGAUUCAUUGGGCGUAAAGAGCGUGUAGGCGGCCAGGUAGGUCAGCUGUGAAAACUGGAGGCUCAACCUUCAGACGUCGGCUGAAACCAUCUGGCUAGAGUCCGGUAGAGGAGAGUGGAAUUCCUGGUGUAGCGGUGAAAUGCGCAGAUAUCAGGAAGAACACCCGUGGCGAAAGCGGCUCUCUGGAACGGUACUGACGCUGAGACGCGAAAGCGUGGGGAGCGAACAGG